CAGCCGCCGCGGUAAUACCGGCGGCCCGAGUGGCGGUCACUAUUAUUGGGCUUAAAGCGUCCGUAGCCGGGUUGGGAAGGCCUCCGGGAAAUCUGGCCGCUUAACGGUCAGAAUGCCGGAGGAUACUCCCAGCCUAGGGAGCGGGAGAGGCCGAGGGUAUUCCCGGAGUAGGGGUGAAAUCCUAUAAUCCCGGGAGGACCACCUGUGGCGAAGGCGCUCGGCUGGGACGCGUCCGACGGUGAGGGACGAAGGCCAGGGGAGCAAACCGGAUUAGAUACCCGGGUAGUCCUGGCUGUAAACGAUGCGGACUUUGUGUCGGACAAGCUAUGAGCUUGUCCGGUGCCGGAGGGAAACCGUUAAGUCCGCCGCCUGGGGAGUACGGCCGCAAGGCUGAAACUUAAAGGAAUUGGCGGG
rnacentral:rRNA from 1 species